rnacentral:rRNA from 1 species
CCUACGGGUGGCAGCAGUGGGGAAUAUUGCACAAUGGGGGAAACCCUGAUGCAGCGACGCCGCGUGAGUGAAGAAGUAUUUCGGUAUGUAAAGCUCUAUCAGCCGGGAAGAAAUAGCGACCUUUGGGUCGCCAGACGGUACCUGAUUAAGAAGCACCGGCUAAAUACUGGCCAGCAGCCGCGGUAAUACGUAGUGGGCAAGCGUUAACCGGAUUUACUGGGUGUAAAGGGAGCGUAGACGGCAGUGAAAUUCUGAAGUGAAACGCCCGGGCUUAACCCCGGGACGCCUUUGGAUACUGUGCAGCUAGAGUGAAGGAGAGGUAAGCGGAAUUCCUGGUGUAGCGGUGAAAUGCGUAGAUAUUAGGAAGAACACCAGUGGCGAAGGCGGCUUACUGGACUGUAACUGACGUUGAGGCACGAAAGCGUGGGGAGCAAACAGGAUUAGAUACCCCAGUAGUC